AUAAGUCAUUUUACGACCAAACUGCCAAUGGCUCAUUAAAACAGUUAUAGUUUCUUUGCUGGUCAAUCGUUAUACGGAUAACUGUGGUAAUUCUAGAGCUAAUACGUGCACAAAGACCCGACUUCCCGGAAGGGUUGCAUUCAUUAGAUACAGAACCCUCCCCUUCGGGGUUUUGGAUGAUCCAUAAUGAAUGAGCGGAGCGCAUGGCUUGUGUCGGCGCUGUAGCAUUCAAGUUUCUGACCUAUCAGCUUUCGACGGUAGGGUAUUGGCUUACCGUGGCAUUGACGGGUAACGGAGAAUUAGGGUUCGAUUCCGGAGAGGGAGCCCGAGAAACGGCUACCACAUCUAAGGAAGGCAGCAGGCGCGCAAAUUACCCAAUUUUUUUACAGGGAGGUAGUGACAAGAAAUAACAGUGCUGUUCUCUUUGAGAAUAUGCAUCUGGAAUGAUUUGCAUGUAAAUAUCGCUUGGACUAUCAAUUGGAGGGCAAGUCUGGUGCCAGCAGCCGCGGUAAUUCCAGCUCCAUUAGUGUAUAUUAAAGUUGUUGCGGUUAAAAAGCUCGUAGUUGGAUUUCUGUUGGGUAUCGCGUGGUCUGCUCCUCGAGUACGUAUCUGCGUCGAUCCUGGCAUCCUCGCAACGCUCUGUGGCAUUAAUUUGCUGCUUGGCUUGCGACUUUUACUUUGAGGAAAUUAGAGUGUUCACGGCAGGCAUUUGCUUUGAAUAUAUUAGCAUGGAAUAAUAACAUAGGACUUCGGUUUUAUUUUGUUGGUUUCUAAGGCUGAAGUAAUGAUUAAUAGGGACAAUUGGGGGCACUCGUACAAAUCCGUCAGAGGUGGAAUUCUUGGAUUGGAUUUUGACGAACUACUGCCAAAGCAUUUG
rnacentral:rRNA from 1 species